rnacentral:rRNA from 1 species
GACGAACGCUGGCGGCGUGCCUAAUACAUGCAAGUAGGACGCAGUUGCGAACGGGUGAGUAACGCGUAGGUAACUACCUAUUAGAGGGGGAUAACAAUUGGAAACGAUAGCGAAUACCGCAUACUAGUAGAUGGACCUUCGUUGUAUUAGCUAGUAGGUAGGGUAAUGGCCUACCUAGGCAACGAUACAUAGCCGAACUGGGAGGGUUAUCGGCCACUCUGGGACUGAGAGCCGGCCCAGACUCCUACGGGAUGCAGCAGUAGGGAAUCUUCGGAAAUGGGGGGAACCCUGACCGAGCAACGCCGCGUGAGUGAAGAAGGUUUUCGGAUCGUAAAGCUCUGUUGUUAAGGAAGCGGUACUUACCCAGAAAGGGACGGCUAACUACGUGCCAGCAGCCGCGGUAAUUC